rnacentral:rRNA from 1 species
GUAGUCAUAUGCUUGUCUCAAAGAUUAAGCCAUGCAUGUCUAAGUAUGAACCAAUUUGUACGGUGAAACUGCGAAUGGCUCAUUAUAUCAGUUAUUGUUUAUUUGAUGAUACCUUGCCACUUGGAUAACCGUGGUAAUUCUAGAGCUAAUACAUGCACGAAACCCCGACUAUUGCUGGAAGGGGUGUAUUUAUUAGGUAAAAGCCAACCCUGGGCAACCAGGCCGCUGGUGAUUCAUGAUAACUUUGCGAACCGCAUGCCCUUGCGGCGGCGGUGGAUCAUUCAAAUUUCUGCCCUAUCAACUUUCGACGAUAGGAUAGAGGCCUAUCGUGGUUUCAACGGGUAACGGGGAAU